rnacentral:rRNA from 1 species
CCUACGGGAGGCAGCAGUGGGGGAUAUUGCACAAUGGGCGCAAGCCUGAUGCAGCGACGCCGCGUGAGGGAUGACGGCUUUCGGGUUGUAAACCUCUUUCGCUACCGAACAAGGCUUCAUUUUGUGUGGGGUUGAGGGUAGGUGGAUAAGAAGCGCCGGCUAACUACGUGCCAGCAGCCGCGGUAAU